GGAGAGGUAGGAAGUGGUUAUUCCAGCUUGUCUUGAAAACAAGCAGUCGUAAGGCUCGUGGGUUCGAAUCCCACCCUCUCCG
rnacentral:tRNA from 1 species